CAAGUCGUGGGGCAGCAUGGUGUAGCAAUACACUGAUGGCGACCGGCAAACGGGUGCGGAACACGUACGCAACCUUCCUUUAAGUGGAGAAUAGCCCGGCGAAAGCCGGAUUAAUACUCCGUAACAUUAUGAAGUGGCAUCACUUUAUAAUUAUAGCUCCGGCGCUUAAAGAUGGGCGUGCGUCUGAUUAGGUAGUUGGCGGGGUAACGGCCCACCAAGCCUACGAUCAGUAACUGGUGUGAGAGCACGACCAGUCACACGGGCACUGAGACACGGGCCCGACUCCUACGGGAGGCAGCAGUAAGGAAUAUUGGUCAAUGGACGCAAGUCUGAACCAGCCAUGCCGCGUGAAGGAUGAAGGUCCUCUGGAUUGUAAACUUCUUUUAUUUGGGAAGAAACCCAAGAUUUCUAUUUUGGUUGACGGUACCAGAUGAAUAAGCACCGGCUAACUCCGUGCCAGCAGCCGCGGUAAUACGGAGGGUGCAAGCGUUAUCCGGAUUCACUGGGUUUAAAGGGUGCGUAGGCGGGCAGGUAAGUCCGUGGUGAAAUCUCCAAGCUUAACUUGGAAACUGCCGUGGAUACUAUUUGUCUUGAAUAUAGUGGAGGUGAGCGGAAUAUGUCAUGUAGCGGUGAAAUGCUUAGAUAUGACAUAGAACACCCAUUGCGAAGGCAGCUCGCUACACUAUUAUUGACGCUGAGGCACGAAAGCGUGGGGAUCGAACAGGACUAGAUACCCUGGUAGUCCACGCCCUAAACGAUGAUUACUCGACAUCAGCGAUACACUGUUGGUGUCUGAGCGAAAGCAUUAAGUAAUCCACCUGGGAAGUACGACCGCAAGGUUGAAACUCAAAGGAAUUGACGGGGGUCCGCACAA
rnacentral:rRNA from 1 species